UCCUCGUCUGAGUCUCUGACACAGGAUCAGGGUUUUCUGUCGCCCAUGUUUCCAGUUUGACCGGUGGACCGGACAGUGGUCACACUGGAGUCCAGACUGAGCCCAGUUCUCCCUUUGCACUGUGUGCUUCACGUCAAACUGUCGACUUCGUGUCAGUUAAACUUCAACAUGUUGCUGUAAAAGGUCUCUGUUGUUGGUCCAGUUCUUGGUUGUCUCUCCGUUUGGAGACCCUGGGCCUGUUUUUUGGGGAUUAUUGCAUCUGGAUUCAUCCGGACUUCAUUCCUGCCGGCCUCUUCCUCUCAACAUGUUUGUGUUUCGGACUCCGCUCCUGGUUUUCCUCUCGCCUGCCUGCCUCAUCAUCAUUGGAAGUUUGUGUUCACCUUGUUUUGACUUAAUAAAUCAUGUUACAGUGAGCUGAGA